rnacentral:rRNA from 1 species
CCUACGGGGGGCAGCAGUGAGGAAUAUUGGUCAAUGGGCUUACGCCUGAACCAGCCAAGUCGCGUGAGGGAAGACUGCCCUAUGGGUUGUAAACCUCUUUUGUCAGGGAGCAACGCCGGCUACGUGUAGCCGGACUGAGAGUACCUGAAGAAAAAGCAUCGGCUAACUCCGUGCCAGCAGCCGCGGUAAUACGGAGGAUGCGAGGGUUAUCCGGAUUUAGUGGGUUAGAAGGGGGCGUAGGCGGAAUGCCAAGUCAGCGGUAAAAGCGCGGGGCUCAACCUCGCUACGCCGUUGAAACUGGCGUUCUUGAGUGGGCGAGAAGUAUGCGGAAUGCGUGGUGUAGCGGUGAAAUGCGUAGAUAUCACGCAGAACUCCGGUUGCGAAGGCAGCAUACCGGCGCCCAACUGACGCUGAAGCACGAAAGCGUGGGUAUCGAACAGGAUUAGAUACCCUGGUAGUC